AGAUUUGCUCUGGAGAGAAUUGAAGCAGUGCAAUACUUCUAGAAGAAGGACUGGGCAGUAACCCCCACCAAAAACAAUCUAAGAUUUACCAGAUGCUUCUUCUGAUUGGUUCAUUCAAGACUGGCUUUACUGAAAAGACAAGCAGAGCAAUCAGUAAAUCCUGGGGCCAAAUGACAGACUCCGCACAGCAAGCUCCGAGUGACUGAUCCUUCGCUCCAAGCCUGGGUGACUGACUGUCUCAAUGAAUGAAUCACAAAUCUCCAAAACUCCUCUUUUUAAAGAUCUUUUUCUCUUGUGUCACCUCCUCUAAAUUUUCACGUCUACCAAUCACAGCAGAUGCUUUUCUCCAGGACUGCCCAUUCUUUAGUUCUCACCUUCUUUGGCUAGAUUUUAUCUUUUUGGGUUACUUAACACCUCUUUUGGUAAGUUCACCUUUUGGAGUUACUUAACACAUUUUUGUAGAUAAAAUCUAAAAAUAGAUUGUAGCUUACAUUUCUAGCUUCACUCUAAAGGAGGAGCGAAGUACCUUCAUUGUUACAAUCAGGAGAUAUCUAAAUCCAAUCUUCACAGUAUCCAGUUUCUUUAAAUGUCAUACAGCCAACUCAUGUAAAAUAUGAUAGUGGGUUUGUUUGCUUUUGUAAUUAACUGGACUAUUGUGAAUUUGGGGACUUUGGUACUUCUUUGAAUGUGCAUUAUCUGCUGUAUUACUGUUUUAUUCUAAAAGUCAUUUUGUACUCACACAUGGUUGACACAGUGUGUCACUGAU